AACCGCGGUCAUACGAUUAACCCGAAUCAAUAACCUUCGGCGUAAAGAGUGUUUAGGAUAAUUACCCAAAUAAAGUUAAACUAUUACUAAGCCGUAAAAAGCCCCAGUAUAAAUAAACCCAACAACGAAAGUGACUUUAGCAUGUCCGAACACACGACAACUAGGACC
rnacentral:rRNA from 1 species